CAUCCUCCAAGGCUAAAUACUCCUGACUGACCGAUAGUGAACCAGUACCGUGAGGGAAAGGCGAAAAGAACCCCGGCGAGGGGAGUGAAAAAGAACCUGAAACCGUGUACGUACAAGCAGUGGGAGCCCCACCACUAAGCCAGUGGUGAACUCCACAUACGCAUCCUUUGCUGAGGAUACGGUUAACGGAGCGAAAGCGACGUUCAACCGCAAAAGAAGCAGAGGGGGCUUAGUGGUGGGGUGACUGCGUACCUUUUGUAUAAUGGGUCAGCGACUUAUAUUCUGUAGCAAGGUUAACCGUAUAGGGGAGCCGUAGGGAAACCGAGUCUUAACCGGGCGUUAAGUUGCAGGGUAUAGACCCGAAACCCGGUGAUCUAGCCAUGGGCAGGUUGAAGGUUGGGUAACACUAACUGGAGGACCGAACCGACUAAUGUUGAAAAAUUAGCGGAUGACCUGUGGCU
rnacentral:rRNA from 1 species